rnacentral:rRNA from 1 species
UACGUAGGUGGCAAGCGUUGUCCGGAAUUAUUGGGCGUAAAGCGCGCGCAGGCGGUCCUUUAAGUCUGAUGUGAAAGCCCACGGCUCAACCGUGGAGGGUCAUUGGAAACUGGGGGACUUGAGUACAGAAGAGAAGAGUGGAAUUCCACGUGUAGCGGUGAAAUGCGUAGAGAUGUGGAGGAACACCAGUGGCGAAGGCGACUCUUUGGUCUGUAACUGACGCUGAGGCGCGAAAAGCGUGGGGAGGCAAACAGG